GUAGGCCUCAAGUGAUGUGUGACAACCCC
rnacentral:rRNA from 1 species